AACGAACGCUGGCGGCGCGCCUAAUACAUGCAAGUCGAGCGAGAAGGUGUAGCAAUACACUUGUAAAGCGGCGAACGGGUGAGGAAUACAUGGGUAAUCUACCAUCGAGUGGGGAAUAACCAACCGAAAGGUUGGCUAAUACCGCGUACGCCUCCGAGUCUUCGGGUUCGGAGGGAAAGCUGCACUGUGAGUGUAGCGCUCUUUGAUGAGCUCAUGUCCUAUCAGCUUGUUGGUAGGGUAACGGCCUACCAAGGCUUUGACGGGUAGCUGGUCUGAGAGGACGAUCAGCCACACUGGCACUGCGGCACGGGCCAGACUCCUACGGGAGGCAGCAGUAAGGAAUAUUGCGCAAUGGGCGAAAGCCUGACGCAGCGACGCCGCGUGGGGAUGAAGGUCUUCGGAUUGUAAACCCCUUUCAGCAGGGACGAAGGGUGACUGACGGUACCUGUAGAAGAAGCACCGGCCAACUACGUGCCAGCAGCCGCGGUAAAGUCGU
rnacentral:rRNA from 1 species